rnacentral:rRNA from 1 species
GAUGAACGCUGGCGGCGUGCCUAAUACAUGCAAGUCGAGCGAACGGACGAGAAGCUUGCUUUUCUGAUGUUAGCGGCGGACGGGUGAGUAACACGUGGAUAACCUACCUAUAAGACUGGGAUAACUUCGGGAAACCGGAGCUAAUACCGGAUAAUAUUUUGAACCGCAUGGUUCAAAAGUGAAAGACGGUCUUGCUGUCACUUAUAGAUGGAUCCGCGCUGCAUUAGCUAGUUGUUAAGGUAACGGCUUACCAAGGCAACGAUGCAUAGCCGACCUGAGAGGGUGAUCGGCCAGACUGGAACUGAGACACGGUCCAGACUCCUACGGGAGGCAGCAGUAGAGAAUCUUCCGCAAUGGGCGAAAGCCUGACGGAGCAACGCCGCGGGAGUGAUGAAGGUCUUCGGAUCGUAAAACUCUGUUAUUAGGGAAGAACAUAUGUGUAAGUAACUGUGAACAUCUUGACGGUACCUAAUCAGAAAGCCACGGCUAACUACGUG